rnacentral:lncRNA from 1 species
GUGUUACAUUUUAAAAUUAUGCCUACCUGACACUUCAGGAAAUUUCCUCUGAAGAGGUUGUAUUUAAGCCAGAAAUGGCCAGGCUCAUCCAGAACCUACUGCUCAGCUGCUACUUUCUAUGCAGUGGAAGGACUCUUUAAGUUAAAUUGACUUUACGCUUUUGGAGUUAACUCUACCUUCUAUUUUACUCUUUUCAUUUGGCUUGUUCUCACUUGGCAUCCCUUUCCAUUGCCUGAAUGUUAUUUUGUAGUUGAUGCAGAAAAUGUGGUACCCAAGCAUUGCACAAGCUUAUCACACGUGUGAUGACUACAAAUGUGCAUGCUGCAUGCAGCCACAGGGCAUGGCUAAGAAGGACACAUAGGGGUCAUGGGAGUAAGUAUGGGAUAGAGUCAAGAGACUUGGGUGAAAGUUCUUCCAGGGACCUGAUUUAUUCAUUGAUUUCCCAUCUUCAGAAAUGUGUAGGGUUGUUGUAAAGAGACUACUUGAAACAAAGCAUAUAAAUCAAAGGAGAUGAAUGGGAAAUGUUAGCCUAUUUCUGAUUGAUAGCUGUUUUCCUUGGGAAAUAUAUCAGAUUCAGGGUCCACAUGAAUAUUAUGAAGCUUGGUGUUCAAUCAUUUAACAGUUUUAUAUCUGAGAAGCACCAACAUCCUUUAAAAAUUGUACUUCUUAUUUGAUCCGCAGUCCUACCUCUUUUAACAUGAGUCUGGGUAUGAAAGUUUAAAAUAGUUUUGACUGACAUGUAUGUGUAUUUCCAUAUCUGUGUGACAAAGGACUCCAUGAAAAGUACUCUCCUUUACUAAGGCACUUUGAUCCUAUUCGAAAUAUUAAGAUCUAACUUUAAGCUAUUUCAAAGGUCUGAUAAUUUCUACUUUUAUUCCCAACAUAGAAAUGACUCCUUAGGCAGUCCCCAGCCCCAGCUGGAACAUUUCUGCUGCUGUUCCCAGGAAGGACACAUCCCUUUCAUGCUCAGUGUGGAUAGUCACUGAUUGCAUCAAUAGACAACCCCCCUCAUGUCGAUGAUAGAAAAUGCUCUGGCUUUUACUUAGCUGCUAAUGAGUAAUGGCCCUGUGGCUGGCUGCAAAGGUGGCCAGCCACCACAGGGCUAUCGUGAGAAGGCAAAAACAUUGUUAUCCUCCAGAGCCUUGGCUGUUGCCUUCAAGUUUUGCUAAGAAGAAACUGGCUGUUGCACCAACACCUCCUGAGGCUCUGAAACUCAGAAAAGACUUGGUUGACUAGCAUGAUUGAGCGACAUUGUCAUUAUCGAAAGAUACAGCUAUUGUCUUUCAAUAGGAUGCUUAGCCUCUUCUCUCUUUAGCAGCAAUAUUGACUUGGAAAGCCAAUUUAAGUCCCCCCAAAAGUUGCUUGGUGCAUAGAGAAUCAGAGUAAUGAGAUUAAGAGGUUUUUAGCAUUAUUUUUUCCUUUUUAAACUUUACAAGCAAUACAUUUUUAUUACAAAGAAUAGAAAAUAUGAUAUAAAGAAAAAAAAAGGAGGAGUUCCCAUCGUGGCGCAGUGGUUAACGAAUCUGACUAGGAACCAUGAGGUUGCAGGUUUGAUCCCUGCCCUUGCUCAGUGGGUUAACGAUCCGGCGUUGCCGUGAGCUGUGGUGUAGGUCACAGAUGUGGCUCAGAUCUGGCAUUGCUGUGGCUCUGGCAUAGGCCAGCAGCUAUAGCUCUGAUUCAACCCCUAGCCUGGGAACCUCCAUAUGCCGCGGGAGUGGCCCAAGAAAUGGCAAAAAGACAAAAAAAAGAAGAAAAAAAAGGAGCCACACUGUUUAGAGAUAACCACUGCUGAUAUUUGGGUGUAUAACCUUCCAGACUUUUUUAUGCCUCCUUAUUUAGACUUAUAGACCCUAGGGCUUGAGGAUAAUUCAUUCUUUUAGAAACUUAAGGUCCUGCAAGAAUAAUUGUUUUCAGAUUUUAUUUUGAGCAGAGGCAGGAAAGGAAAGAUCUUGUUCCUAUAAAACCAAAUCUUUUGCCAGAUACGUGGAUAGAUAGGUGGAUGGCUGGAUGGAUGAAUGGAUAGAUGGAGGAGUUGUUUGGUGGCUGGCUGGCUGGCUGGGUGGGUGGAAGAAAAGAGAGAUGGAUAGACUAAUGGGUUGUUUGGAAUGAAGACAACUUAAUCUAACCAGAAGAGUUCAUGUUGAAGUUGGGAAACUUCCUCUGGGUGGGCAACAUUUUAUUUGCCAUCAUCCUGUCCUUGGGGGAACUCACCGUUCCCCUGCUCAGUGUGAAUGGUUAAUUUUUUUUUCUCUUUAGGGCCACUUGCCGUAAAGAACUUCUCAGGCUAGGGGUCGAAUCAGAGCUACAGCCACAGCAACACCAGAUCCAAGGUGUGUCGUUGACCUAUACCACAGCUCACGGAAAAGCAGGAUCCUUAACCUGUUGAUCGAGGUCAGGGAUUGAACCUGUGUCCUCAUGGAUACCAAUCAGGUUCAUUACCACUGAACCAUAACAGGAACUCCUAGUUAAUUGUUAAAUGUGCUCUAUGUAUUCCCUCUCCAGACCUUCUAGCCACAUGUGGGCCACGUAUGACCCAGUCUGAGUGAAUCAUAUUCUUGCAACCCCUUGGAUAUGAUGAUUAGUUCAGGGGUGGGCAUGUGAUCCCAACAGGGCUUAUCAGAGUUUUCCCUAGAAUUGAUAUAUGAACUCUAGGGUAAAAGCAUCUUUUUAUACUGAGGUGGCUCAGUAGGGAAAAUUGACAAUAAGGGUAGCCUGAUGCCUUCUUGAUGGCCACAUGGCAGAGACCCUAUUCAAGAGCAGGGACCAGCAGUACAGAGAUAGAUACAGGGAGAGAGAAAAGGGGAGGACACACACACACACACAGGGGAGAGGGAAGCUGAGAACUGUCUCUCAUCAGUGAGUUGACAUUGUUUGAGGCCUUGGAUCCUGCCACCCUCAAAAUUUCCAGUUGUGUUUGCCACUUAAACAUUUCACUUUGGGUUAAGGUAGUUUAAGCUUGUUUUGGUCAAAUGUAACCAAGAGUCAAAAGCUCUUCUCCAUCUCCUUGGAGACAGGGGUGCUGUCCUGCCUAGUCUCUCAACACAGGACCUGACUCACUCUUCUUUUUUUGUGCUCAGGGUAUAGCUUUUCUUCUUUUCAUAUUGGCUUGGACAUUUCAGCUCCCAGCCCUGCACUCACUGUGAUGAUGGGCCCAUAUCCUCCUGGGAAAAGAGGAGCCCAGAGUGCUCCUUAGGAGCCCAAGGUGGAGCCUGUGACUUCUCUGACAGCUGACCAGGUCAGAGGGGUAUGGCAGGCCUGGUUCUGAUUAAUAUGCCUAUAAAGUGGAAUUCUGGGACUGACCUCCAUUCAACUCAAGCAACACAAAGAUAAUUGACCUUUGGAAACUGCCUUUGGCAGUCUUUUAUUAUUUUUAUAGGAAAGUCCUGCAAACCAAUUACAUCUCACAAUGGGCCUUUUAUGGUGCUAUUAGUUUAAUGCAGCUUUCAGAGAAAUUAGUCCUCGGGGAGCCUGAAAUUCUAG